UACGGAGGAUGCAAGCGUUAUCCGGAAUGAUUGGGCGUAAAGCGUCCGCAGGGGGCUAUGUAAGUCUGCUGUUAAAGAGUCUAGCUCAACUAGAUAAGAGCAGUGGAAACUACAAGGCUAGAGUACGUUCGGGGCAGAGGGAAUUCCUGGUGUAGCGGUGAAAUGCGUAGAGAUCAGGAAGAACACCAGUGGCGAAGGCGCUCUGCUAGGCCGUAACUGACGCUGAGGCGCGAAAGCGUGGGGAGCAAACAGG
rnacentral:rRNA from 1 species